GACUGCAACACAGGCACGUGGGCACGUGGCUCAGACCAGGCAAGGGCACUGAGGCACCUUUGCCCCAUGGCAGCAGCACUGACUGAGGAGCCACAGCCCUGCCACCCUCGGCCUGGAGGACGAGCAGGGAAGUGGCCAGGCCAAAGCCACGGAUGGGACACUUACCAUGCAGACAACGGGCUCCAUCAGCUUGUCACUGGGCACCUCCAUCCAGGUCAUCUCGGUGGCCCCAGCGUCACCGGGCGAGCACGGCGUCAGGAGAUCAUCCACGAGGGCACCGGGGGUGGUGCGGGAGGGCCCACGGACCUGCACAGAGCCGGUGGCACAUGGCACAGCGCUCGGGCUGGGGCACAGCAGGCACAGUGCCCACCCCUCCCCGGGACCGCCCCGGGCCCUGCAGCCCCCACUCACCCUCUUGAAGUGUGUGGCCGACUGCACCUUGCGCACGGGCUGCAUCAGGGCGUCCCGCACGAUGAUGCUGAUGUCGGCCCCCGAGUAGCCGUCGGU